ensembl:miRNA
GGAAAUAUUAGGUUGAUGCAAAAGUAAUUGUGGUUUUUGCCAUUAAAAUAUUGCAAAAACCACAGUUACCUUUGCGCCAACCUAAUA